GAUGAACGCUGGCAGCAUGCUUAACACAUGCAAGUCAACCUGUGGCGGACGGGUGAGUAACGCGUAAAGAACUUGCCUCUCGGAUAGGGACAACAUUGGGAAACGAAUUCUCAUCGGUGAUACUGUCAGAGAGCUUUGCGUCCCAUUAGCUAGUUGGAGAGUUAACGGCUACCCAAGGCGAGGAUGGGUAGCCGGCCUGGGAGGGUGUUCGGCAACAAGGUGACUGAGACAAGGCCAGUACUCUGACGGGAGCCAGCGUGGGGGAAUAUUGGCCAAUGGGCCAAAGUCUGAUCAAGGAAUUCGGGGUGCAAGAUGAAGUUUUCGGAAUGAAAAGUGUUUUCAGAUGAGAAGCGGUACCAACAGAAGAAGUAACGGCUAACUACGUGCCAGCAGCCGCGGUAAUAC
rnacentral:rRNA from 1 species